AUGACUGAAAGCAACCAGAGGGUUAAGAUCCUGAAAAAUCAAGAUGGCACACCAAGGAACUUCACGCAUUAAAUAACAUGCACACAACAGGAAGGAGACCCUGUGUACAUAUCCACGCCUGACCUCAACACUGAGGAAUCAGAGAGGAGUUCAGGGAGCAGGACAAUGUUUAGGGUGGCUGCACCUCGAGUUGGAUGGGACAUCGGCCCAGCUCACUUCAGCGAGCUGUCACCAAUGGCAGACACCCAUGAAUCGGGAUUUUCAAGGAGAAACAGGAAAGUGGAAUAUUUCUGGAUCCCCACUGAUGAGGAAUAAAUGUAAAAUGUCUAGUUUUAGAUAUAUUGCCUAAACAACAAAACAUUGGCUGUAAACAUUUUGCUAAAUCUCCUACUAGAUUAAAUUUGCCUAAAUUUAAUUUUGUAAAUGUUUUAACCUACAAAAUAUACUUUAAAUGUUGUGCUAACCACCAAAACAAAUGGUACUGUAUCCCGGUGGUAAAAAACUAAAUAGAUUCUGGUAAAAUAGUUCUCUCUUCACUAGAAGAGAUUUAGCACAAUGAAAGGUAAAAUUCUCAAGAGCAUUUCUUACAAAAAAUGUCAACAAACACUUUAGCUGAUCAAGUUUUUCCUUUAUUGUGAAUUCCGCAAUACUGGUGAUGAAUACAGCACUAAACAGCCUUACAAUGUCAUGAUCUCAAGCCAUUUCCUUUCUGACAACUGGAUUGCAGUUAACAUGUUGGCAAACGCAAAUGUACAAGAUUAACUUAGUCAAAUACAGUUAAAACACCUGUCAAUAAAAGGUUUUCUGAGAACCCCUUAUUGUCAAGGGCAAAAGCCUUUCACCCUUUUUGUUUUUUUUUCUGGAUUUUCCCCAUUUUCUUUUACAUUUAAGGACCCAUUAAAAGGCAGGUUAAAAUAAUCAAUCACUUUGAUGUUUAAGAUUGGAAUAAUUUGCAGCAGAUCAGUGGGACCUGAAGGGCAACAUUACUACUGCCAUUAAACAGAGAAUACAUUUCAGUUACCUUGUCAGAACACACCGCAGACAACAUUAAUGAAGUAAGGCUGGGGCAGCAGAGGCAUUAAGUUGACACUAAUAGCUUGAUUUCUGCAUCUUCAAUGGAAAGCUGAGAUACGUAUUAGGUAGUGUGUUGUGCAAAAUCAAACUACGCAGAUGUUCUGGAUCUUAAUUUAUGACUAAAACUUUAGACAUCAGAAGCCUGCACUAAAUAACGCUUAUUCAGUAGGAGGUAGAAAUGGAAACUUACAGUUUUACGGAUGUUUAAAUCAUGCACGAGGGUUGAAGGAUAUUGCAACCGACCCAGAAUAACACUAAUAAAAGCGUCUACAGCGUAACCUACAAAGGCCAUUCAACCAGGAUCUCACGAUUCAUUUGAAUCAAUCCCCAAGACAGACUGUAAACAAAUCAUUGCUUCUAUAUAACAGUUUCACUUCCGCUGAGACGCUGAAAGGUUUUCUGCCCUGUGUCAUGUGAAACAAAAACAAACAUGUAAGAAAUAUUUGGCUACCACUUUUUCUACUGAAAAAGCAUAGUGGUUCUGAAACUAAAGCAGAUAACAAGCCUGACAUUGGUUAUGAUGCGAGAAAACAUUAGAAACGUUAUGAUAAGGGUAUUACUACUACUCAUUUAAUUGAGCCUAGCAGCAGUGUACUGUAAUUGGCUGAGUGUGAGCUACUGCAAAUAGUGCAGGAAACAAAGAAGACAGCAAGUCAUGUAGCAGGAAA